rnacentral:rRNA from 1 species
CCUACGGGUGGCAGCAGUGGGGAAUAUUGCUCAAUGGCGGAAACCCUGAAGCAGCAACGCCGCGUGGAGGAUGAAGGUUUUAGGAUUGUAAACUCCUUUUGUUAGAGAAGAUAAUGACGGUAUCUAACGAAUAAGCAACGGCUAACUCCGUGCCAGCAGCCGCGGUAAUACGGAGGGUGCAAGCGUUACUCGGAGUCACUGGGCGUAAAGAGCGCGUAGGCGGGAUAGCAAGUCAGAUGUGAAAUCCUAUGGCUUAACCAUAGAACUGCAGUUGAAACUGUUAUUAUAGAGUAUGGGUGAGGUAGGUGGAAUGCUUGGUGUAGGGGUAAAAUCCGUAGAGAUCAAGAGGAAUACUCAUUGCGAAGGCGACCUGCUAGAACAUAACUGACGCUGAUGCGCGAAAGCGUGGGUAUCAAACAGGAUUAGAUACCCUUGUAGUC